CGGCCACAGCGCAGGCCGCUGCCGCACCCGAUCCGGGGGCUCCUCGGACUCCGGCCCCGGCCGCCGUUUCGCGGGCUUUUCUCUCAGUCCUUGUCGUCCGCGGAGGGUCCCACCGUCCCAGAACCUCCCGAGCGCUCCCACCAAACCCCGCCCCGGGCCCGCGUGUCAUGCUCCGACGCCAUAAACCCCCGCUAACCAGGAGAGAGAGAGAGAGCGCAUCAGGUACCCACGCCAGGUUGCCUUGCCUCUGCAAACCCCACCUGCCUCCGUCCGCCCCCCCACGCCGUUGCGAAACGCGCUCUCUCUUCCCCCGCAUGGAUCGCUCCGGCCGCCGCGGCCGCGCCCGCGGCCGUGGAGAAACCCUAGCGGAGGCCUCCCCGCGCACGCGCCGUCGCCAUGCCGAGACGAUCGUCAUCGACCUCGAUAGCGAGGACGGCGGGGGCGGCUCCUCGACGGCGGCGGCUGCUGCGAGCAGCAGCAGCAGCCGUCGCUCCUCGGCGCCUUUGACGCUGGUGACUUCGGGGUCGGUGGCGACGCGGACGCGAUCGAGGAGCCUGGCGAUGAAGUCGCCGGUGGCGGAGGCGGAGGCGGCGCCGAGGGCCAAAAGGAGGAGGAAGGGGACGAGCGCCGAAGCAGACGGCGGCGGAGGGAGCAAAGGCGCCGAGGCCUCGGAGUCAGCAUCAAAAGGAAAUCGCCGUGGACGCUCGCGGACUGCCUCAGAGCCACCGGAUCGGGCUCUUGCGCGGAAGAGCAAGGAUGCAGAUGCAGAGGAGGAAGCAGAGGCUGAAGCAGAGGAGGAAGCAGAGGCGGAGGCGCCCGCUUGUGGAAAACGGGUGGAGGUAUCACGGGUUGAUGGUUGUGCGAACAGUGAGCGAGGCGAGGAUCCUUUAGAUGACCAUAAUAACGGGUCUAACGCUCGGGAGGCAUGUGGCAUUGGUCACGGGAACGAGGAGCAUCACAAUGCUGCUGGUAAGAAUCGAAUAGGUGAGCCUUGUGGGAAUGGGGUGGCCAGUAUUUUGAAUUCAAGUCAUGGGAUGAAUGUGGUGGCAUCAGGCCAUGCAGAGGGUGUGAAAGACUGGGGGAAUAAGGGAGGUGAGCUAGAUGAUGGUUUUGAGGUCGAUGAGGAGUACAUGAAUGAAGAGGAUACAGAGGACGAUGAUGAGAUGUUGGAGGAAAAGCUCGUCGGCGAUCUGAUUCGUGCUUACAGUAAUGGUGAUGAUUUGGAUGCAGAUGGAGUGGACUGGGAAGCUGAGGAUGAGAUGGAGUUUGAUGAUGAUGGCGACGACGACUAUUUUGUGCAUGAUGCUGAUGAAUGUGGCAUGUCUGAACCAAUGUGCGACGAUUAUAAGGUGGGAACACAGUAUCUGUCAGAUCACGAGGUUGUCGUUGGUGAAGUUAGCUGCCAAUUGGAGGAAGAUGUUGUCAAGGAUGAGGUGGACCCGAAGAGAGAAGGAACUACAUGCUUUGAUCAAGGGAGACUGCAUAUUGAAAUUCUCGAGUCUGACGAUGAAGUCAAAGUGCUCAGUGAUGCUAGUAAUCCCUUGAAGAGGAAGCCUCUACCACAAGCAAAGAUACCAGUUCUGCCAUGUGUUGCAUGGAGGACUCGGUCAUUGUGGGGCGUUAAGCAAGAUAGAAUUUCGUACAAUGCAUAUUUUGAGGAGUUGUCUGAUGAGCCAAUAGAGGAUGAUGAUACAGAAGUGGAACUGGAUGACGAAGAUGACAACGAUGACGAUAGUGCCAGUUUUGAGGAAGAGGAAGAAGAGGAGACGAAACAGGAAGAAGUUGCUGAAAAGAGCAAACACAAGAAAGGAAUUCACUCAUCCUUUCCUGAAAUAAGGUCAAGGCCUAUGCCUCUUUUCGUUAAUAGAGAGAGAAGAAUGCAAACAUCAAUACCAAAAUGGCGUGGCACCUCAAAGAAAGCGAGGCAGCCGGAAACAUGCCAUGUAAUUUACUCAUCUGAUGAUGAGAUAAUUGAUGAUACUGCAAAAGAUGGUUUGAAAUGCGAGGUUGAUGAAGAUCCAAGGAAUAAUGUUUUUCAGCCACUCAAUUUUGAGAAAGUUGGCAGUGACGGUACAGUGGGCAAUGGCAUUACUACAGAGCAACAGAAGGGGUCACGAUUUACUUGGGAUCUUGAGAGGAGGAAAAAGCUGAAGCUUGGGAUAAUUAAGAGCCGUCAUUCAUAUGAGCGGGGUUUGGACUUGGAUUCGGACUCAUCGGGUUCUGGUGAGAAUGAAAGGCAUGGAUAUCAAGAAGGUGGUGAUAACAAAGUUGGGAGGAAAAAGAAGCAUUUGUCAUCAAAAUCUGGAAAAUCUGGCAAGAAAUCCAGCCGUUCAACCAUGUUAAAGCGGCAGUCUCUUCUGAAGCUUCUUAUGGAUAAGAUGACUGGCGAUAAAGAUGGUGAAUGUUCUCCUUUUGACCUUCAUUCCCAGUUCGAAUAUAAUUCCAACGAUUCCCAUCCAUUAGUAUUCUCAUUUGGUGAUGAAGAUCAUAUACCAGCUAACAAGGCAGAGCAAAAUGCUGAACAUGAUAUGCUAUGGGCUGACUAUGACUUUGCUUUAGAGUUGGAGAAUAUUGGAACCUAUUAUGAUGACGAGCACCAAGAAGAGAGCAAUAUGCUAAAUCUUGGCCUUGCUUGUACAACACCUUGUUCUCGUGGGAAGCAUGAGUUUAUUAUUGAUGAUCAAAUAGGAAUCAGAUGCAAAUACUGCUCCUUGGUAAAUCUAGAAAUCAGAUUUGUUUUACCAUCAAUGGUCUCAAAUUAUGCAGAGAAAUCUGCAUGGAGAAAUUCAUCUUGUUUGAAGGAUGCGUUGAUGUAUCAUGAUCUUUGUGAACAAGCAGGGAGUAUUGACGGGCAAUCUCAAGGUUUCCAUCCAUAUGGAACAGUGUGGGACCUCAUUCCUGGUGCCAUUAAUACUAUGUAUCAGCAUCAACGUGAAGCAUUUGAAUUUAUGUGGACAAAUCUAGUUGGUGAUAUUAGACUUGAUGAGCUUAAGCAUGGAGCUAAGCCUGAUGUUGUUGGAGGAUGUGUGAUUUGUCAUGCCCCAGGGACAGGAAAGACACGUUUAGCUAUUGUGUUUAUCCAGACAUAUAUGAAGGUAUUUCCAGACUGCCGGCCAGUGAUUAUUGCACCUCGCGGGAUGCUGUUUGCUUGGGAAGAGGAGUUCAAGAAAUGGGAUGUCAAUGUUCCUUUCCAUAUACUGAACACUACAGAAUACUCAGGAAAAGAAGACAGAGACAUAUGUAGGUUAAUAAAGAAAGAACAUCGGACAGACAAGUUGACAAGGCUUGUAAAACUGCUUUCAUGGAACAAGGGACAUGGUAUUCUUGGAAUAAGUUAUGGUCUAUAUAUGAAACUAACAUCCGAAAAAUCUGUCUGCACUGAGGAAAACAAAGUACGAAGCAUUCUUCUCGAGAACCCUGGUUUGCUUGUCCUAGAUGAAGGGCACACACCUAGGAACGAACGCAGUGUUAUGUGGAAGACGUUGGGAAAAGUUAAAACUGAGAAGCGCAUAAUUCUAUCUGGAACUCCUUUCCAAAACAAUUUUCUCGAGCUUUACAAUAUACUAUGUUUGGUGAGGCCCAGGUUUGGUGAAAUGUUUUUGACUAAAACAAAAGUGGGCAGAAGGCAUUACGUGUCAAAGAAGCAACGUGAUAAAUUUUCUGAUAAAUAUGAAAAAGGUGUUUGGGCUUCAUUAACUAGCAAUGUAACUGAUGAUAAUGCUGAGAAAGUGCGAUCAAUAUUGAAACCAUUUGUUCAUAUCCAUAAUGGAACCAUUCUUCGAACUCUUCCAGGUCUCCGAGAGAGUGUGAUUGUUCUGAAACCUCCUCCCCUUCAGAAGAGUAUCAUUAGGAAGGUGGAAAACAUUGGGUCUGGUAACAAUUUUGAACAUGAAUAUGUUAUUUCUUUGGCAUCCACACAUCCUUCUCUUGUAACUGCCAUCAACAUGUCCGAUGAGGAAGCUUCACUUAUUGAUAAACCUAUGCUUGAGAGAUUAAGGUCAAAUCCCUAUGAAGGGGUGAAAACAAGAUUUGUAAUUGAAGUUGUUCGUUUGUGUGAAGCACUGAAAGAAAAGGUAUUGAUCUUUAGUCAAUUUAUUCAGCCAUUAGAACUGAUAAAAGAACAUCUUCGGAAGUUUUUCAAAUGGAGAGAAGGGAAAGAAAUUCUCCAAAUGGAUGGGAAGAUCCUUCCAAGAUAUCGACAGAAUUCAAUUGAAGUUUUCAAUAAUCCAGAUAGUGAUGCGAGGGUGUUACUUGCAUCUACAAGAGCAUGUUGUGAAGGGAUCAGCCUAACAGGAGCUUCAAGAGUUGUUCUCUUAGAUGUUGUUUGGAACCCAGCAGUUGGGAGGCAAGCUAUUAGCAGGGCAUUUCGGAUAGGACAGAAAAAAUUUGUGUAUACAUACAAUUUAAUAACUUAUGGAACAGGCGAAGGUGACAAAUAUGACAGGCAAGCAGAAAAAGAUCACUUGUCCAAGUUGGUCUUCUCUGCAGAAGAUGAGUUCAAUAAUGUCAGGAACAUGCUUUCAAAAGCUGAAAUGGAGCACUGUUCUAAGUUGAUCUCCCAGGAUAAGGUUCUGGAGGAGAUAGCUUCCCAUGACCAGCUAAAGGGCAUGUUUUUAAAGAUACACUAUCCACCAACUGAGUCAAAUAUUGUUUUUACUUACAACCAGAUUACCCCUGAGUUGAGUUAAUGGCAGAUGGUGGCAUCGGCAUCAGUUUUGACUUGCAAGUACUUAUGUCUACAACUGAUGCCAGUGAUAAUAAAAUAAAGGAGUCUACCAGUAGUUCUCAUGGCCAGAAGGUACCAGAUCUUAGUGGCUCUUCAACUGAUGCCAGUGAAGUCCAUCUUGCUUUGUGUUGGUACUUGUCUACAUGGCGAGAUAAAGAUGCCACAUGUAUAUAUGACACUCUUAUUGUCCAUCGUUUACUAAUUAUAAGUUUGGCGGUUGCUGUAAAAUGCACAUAUGAUGCGUUAUUCAAAAAUGCAUUGUGGACAUCAAGGUGAAUUUCAAUCUAGAAAACUUUGGAAGCUACUGCUUGCAGCUGCCAAAACAUGCAACAGCUUUUGUGCCAGAGAGACUGCUGUUAGCGCUGAAGAGUCUUGCACAGAUGUCUCUAGAUUAGUCAUCUGACCUUUGUGCAUUUAGAUUAUGUUAUGGUUUCCUGGACUGUCUGAUUAGCAGCACUGUAAGUCUCGCAACAACAGGUCUGAACAUUAUUAAAUUUUCUGGUAUCCAAUAAUACCGUGGUUCAAUAAA